UACGUAGGGUCCGAGCGUUGUCCGGAAUUAUUGGGCGUAAAGGGCUCGUAGGCGGUUUGUCGCGUCGGGAGUGAAAACUCAGGGCUCAACCCUGAGCGUGCUUCCGAUACGGGCAGACUAGAGGUAUGCAGGGGGAGAACGGAAUUCCUGGUGUAGCGGUGGAAUGCGCAGAUAUCAGGAGGAACACCGGUGGCGAAGGCGGUUCUCUGGGCAUUACCUGACGCUGAGGAGCGAAAGCAUGGGGGAGCGAACAGG
rnacentral:rRNA from 1 species